rnacentral:lncRNA from 1 species
UUUUUUCUUCCGGUAAUUUGAAAUAAAUACGAGUGCAACGUCACGUUCGGUAGUCUUUGCUGUGUUUACGUUUGGCUUGCAGCAAGGCUCAUCCCGGGGGGUCCUAGAGGUAAGAAGCAGCGCAUUAGCUGUAUGCCUUGCAUUUAUUUACCGUAUUUAUGUAAGAUAAUCCCAGUUGACCCGUACGAAAAUACAUGAGAAAGAUUAUUAUUUUAGUAGUUUCGUCCCGUAUGUUUAUUAUAUAUUAUUGUUGGAAUAUUGUACUUAUAUGGAAAGAUAUCGGCUAUUAAUAAAAGUAUCAUUUUUACUAUUGAUCAUUUAUUCACGCUACCAAUGACGAGAGAGAACAGACAACAUAUUUGACGUCCGUAUUUAUUUACCCUGUGUAUUUACUAGUUUUAUGAGAUAUUCGUAUUUGCUGGCUUUAUAACUAUAUCAAAACAUAGCGAGAAGCAGAAAUUACGACAGAUG